CAUCAGAGCAAGCAAGAUGCUUCACCAGAAAUGGACCAGACUCCAGGCUGCAGUGAACAUACCCCACAGCUGCCUACCGCCCCUGAGAAGGCAUCUGGCUUGGCUGUCUGCGACUCCAGCUCUCUGCUCUGCUGACCAUAUGGCCACUGAGGGCGGGAAGCAGGACCCCUCGCACCCCCAGGGAAGGCCAUUUCCCGAUCAGCAGAUGCCAGGUCUCCAGUUAAAUACUUCCAUGUGGGUUCUUCCCGAAAGCUCUGGGUCCUGGCUUCAGCCCUAGAUGUAGUUAAGACUCCGUUGGCUUCAAGACCUGUCUGCUUCAAUCUGGCCAGCUUCAAGUUUCCUACAGAGAUGCUUCCCACCAAAUGAGAUGAGAGCUGGAUGGUGUGCUGCCUGUGGCUCCCGGCAAAGACAAGCUGAAAAGGUGAUAUUCCUCUGCCAGUCUUUUGAAGGCCUGCUUGACACCCCAGAGUCCUUUACAAGCAUGAGUACAAGCCACAGGGAACAGACCCAUCUGUCUUUUGAAGGCCUGUUUGAUGCCCCAGAGCCCUUCACAACUAUGAAUACAAGCCACAGGGAACAAAUCCAAAGAUCCAAUCUGGCCUGAAGUCACCUUGCUCUUCAAAUGGAUAAGCAGAAACACGGCCUGGACAGCUGCCUCUUCUG